rnacentral:rRNA from 1 species
CACGUAGGGGCCAAGCGUUGUCCGGAUUUAUUGGGCGUAAAGAGCUCGUAGGCGGUUGGGUAAGUCGGGUGUGAAAACUCCAGGCUCAACUUGGAGACGCCACCCGAUACUGCUCUGACUUGAGUUCGGUAGGGGAGUGGGGAAUUCCUGGUGUAGCGGUGAAGUGCGCAGAUAUCAGGAGGAACACCGGUGGCGAAGGCGCCACUCUGGGCCGAAACUGACGCUGAGGAGCGAAAGCGUGGGUAGCAAACAGG